rnacentral:rRNA from 1 species
UACGUAGGGUGCGAGCGUUGUCCGGAAUUAUUGGGCGUAAAGGGCUCGUAGGCGGUUUGUCGCGUCGGGAGUGAAAACACCGGGCUUAACUCGGUGCUUGCUUUCGAUACGGGCAGACUAGAGGCAUGCAGGGGAGAACGGAAUUCCUGGUGUAGCGGUGAAAUGCGCAGAUAUCAGGAGGAACACCGGUGGCGAAGGCGGUUCUCUGGGCCUUACCUGACGCUGAGGAGCGAAAGCGUGGGGAGCGAACAGG